CAGUAGCCACGGGAACACGAAGGGGGCUAGCGUUGUUCGGAAUUACUGGGCGUAAAGCGCACGUAGGCGGAUAUUUAAGUCAGGGGUGAAAUCCCGCAGCUCAACUGCGGAACUGCCUUUGAUACUGGGUAUCUUGAGUAUGGAAGAGGUUAGUGGAAUUGCGAGUGUAGAGGUGAAAUUCGUAGGUAUUCGCAGGAACACCAGUGGCGAAGGCGGCUAACUGGUCCAUAACUGACGCUGAGGUGCGAAAGCGUGGGGAGCAAACAGGAUUAGAUACCCCUGUAGUCCCUGUCUCUUAUAC
rnacentral:rRNA from 1 species